rnacentral:rRNA from 1 species
CCAGACUCCUACGGGAGGCAGCAGUGGGGGAUAUUGCACAAUGGGGGAAACCCUGAUGCAGCGACGCCGCGUGAGUGAAGAAGUAUUUCGGUAUGUAAAGCUCUAUCAGCAGGGAAGAAAAUGACAGUACCUGACCAAGAAGCCCCGGCUAACUACGUGCCAGCAGCCGCGGUAAUACGUAGGGGGCAAGCGUUAUCCGGAUUUACUGGGUGUAAAGGGAGCGUAGACGGUUAUGUAAGUCUGGAGUGAAAGCCCGGGGCCCAACCCCGGGACUGCUUUGGAAACUGUGUAACUGGAGUACAGGAGGGGCAGGCGGAAUUCCUGGUGUAGCGGUGAAAUGCGUAGAUAUCAGGAGGAACACCGGCGGCGAAGGCGGCCUGCUGGACUGAAACUGACGUUGAGGCUCGAAAGCGUGGGGAGCAAACAGGAUUAGAUACCCGAGUA